rnacentral:rRNA from 1 species
GACGGGGGAUGCAAGUGUUAUCCGGAAUCAUUGGGCGUAAAGCGUGCGCAGGCGGUUAUAUAAGACAGAUGUGAAAUCCCCGGGCUCAACCUGGGACCUGCAUUUGUGACUGUAUAGCUAGAGUACGGUAGAGGGGGAUGGAAUUCCGCGUGUAGCAGUGAAAUGCGUAGAUAUGCGGAGGAACACCGAUGGCGAAGGCAAUCCCCUGGACCUGUACUGACGCUCAUGCACGAAAGCGUGGGGAGCAAACAGG